GCUGGUGUAGCUCAAUGGCUAGAGCAAUUGUCUUGUAAACAAUAGGUUGCAGGUUCGAAUCCUGUCACCAGCU
rnacentral:tRNA from 1 species